GUUUGCUCUUGGAAUGAACUACUGGUCUUGCUCAGGUUUCCCAGUGUACGACUACGAUCCAUCCUCCUUAAGGGAUGCCCUCAGUGCCUCUGUGGUAAAAGUGAAUUCCCAGUCACUGAGUCCGUAUCUGUUUCGGGCAUUCAGAAGCUCAUUAAAAAGAUUGACAAAUGGGAUCUAAUUAAACUAAAGAGCUUCUGCACGGCAAAAUAAACUACCAUCAGAGUGAACAGGCAACCUACAGAAUGGGAGAAAAUUUUUGCAAUCUACUCAUCUGACAAAGGGCUAAUAUCCAGAAUCUACAAUGAACUCAAACAAAUUUACAAGAAAAAAAACAAACAACCCCAUCAACAAGUGGGCGAAGGAUAUGAACAGACACUUCUC
rnacentral:lncRNA from 1 species